AAGGCCUUGGGAGAAAGCAGACUGAAGUCCCCAGGGAAAGAGAGAAUUCUGCCUCCAGACUGCCUUCGGACUGAAGCCGCAACCUCACCUCUUCCCUGGGUCUCCAGACUGCUGGCCCACCCGGCAGAUUUUGGACUUGCCUGCCUCCAUGAUCACAGCCCAUUCCUGGCCAGGAAGAGCAGGCUGGUGGCUGGUGAGGCAGAACCUGGAGCUGCAACCCAUGCAUGCAACCUGCUCUGUGACUUGGCAGCUGUGGAUCCUUGGGCAAGAUGCUAAGGAAUCCUCCCCUGCAAUUAAGAACUUUUUGCUUGAUAUUGACCUUGGGGGAAAAGAAGCGGAAGAGGAACACCUCCUUUCGUGAGCGUUGUGGACAUAUUCGUGCUAAGAACCUUCUCAAUGCUACCCGCACUUUUGGCGACUGAGAAGGGGAAGCGAGCACGCAAGAGAAGGGAUGAGCACCAGCCCCUUGUGAUUACUCUCGACUUUAUUAGGACCAAAGGACAUUACAGCUCUGUUCCAACUACUGGAAGAAAUAAAAAAGCUGCUUGAGAGUGA